CAGUAGCCGCGGUAAUACGAAGGGGGCUAGCGUUGUUCGGAUUUACUGGGCGUAAAGCGCACGUAGGCGGACUUUUAAGUCAGGGGUGAAAUCCCGGGGCUCAACCCCGGAACUGCCUUUGAUACUGGAAGUCUUGAGUAUGGUAGAGGUGAGUGGAAUUCCGAGUGUAGAGGUGAAAUUCGUAGAUAUUCGGAGGAACACCAGUGGCGAAGGCGGCUCACUGGACCAUUACUGACGCUGAGGUGCGAAAGCGUGGGGAGCAAACAGGAUUAGAUACCCCGGUAGUCCCUGUCUCUUAUAA
rnacentral:rRNA from 1 species